AAGAAAGUAGCUUAAAUUUAAAGCUAGGCAUUGAAGAUGCCUCUAUAGGAGUAUCCUCUUUCUUA
rnacentral:tRNA from 1 species